UGAAAUCCUCCAAAUUUUGAAGGGGGAGAUUGAUAUGGACCUGGAGAAGAAUCCCCGGUGCUUGGAAUUGUUUUGGGAAAUGGUUUGUUGAGAUUAGUGUGCAAUUGAAAGGCACUCAUUUUGGUGGUGAUCCGGUGGCUUUUCACCGGCAGACGGCGGAGCAGCGUGCACUAAAGCACGAUUACUAUUCACGGUAGUCGCACUGUAAGGAGAGCUG
rnacentral:lncRNA from 1 species